GUGGGGAAUCUUCCGCAAUGGACGAAAGUCUGACGGAGCAACGCCGCGUGAGUGAUGAAGGUCUUCGGAUUGUAAAGCUCUGUUAAUCGGGACGAAAGAGCCUAGUGUGAAUAAUGCUAGGAAGUGACGGUACCGGAAUAGAAAGCCACGGCUAACUACGUGCCAGCAGCCGCGGUAAUACGUAGGUGGCAAGCGUUGUCCGGAAUUAUUGGGCGUAAAGCGCGCGCAGGCGGAUCUGCCAGUCUGUCUUAAAAGUUCGGGGCUUAACCCCGUGAUGGGAUGGAAAAUACAGAUCUAGAGUAUCGGAGAGGAAAGUGGAAUUCCUAGUGUAGCGGUGAAAUGCGUAGAUAUUAGGAAGAACACCAGUGGCGAAGGCGACUUUCUGGAUGAAAACUGACGCUGAGGCGCGAAAGCCAGGGGAGCGAACGGGAUUAGAAACCCGGGUAGUCC
rnacentral:rRNA from 1 species